GACGUAGGGGGCAAGCGUUGUUCGGAAUUAUUGGGCGUAAAGCGCUCGUAGGCGGGAUUGGAAGUCCGUGUUGAAAGACCUCGGCUCAACUGAGGGACCGGCUCGGAUACUCUAAUUCUUGAGGCAAUCAGAGGAUGAUGGAAUUCCCGGUGUAGCGGUGAAAUGCGUAGAUAUCGUUUGGAACGCCAAUGGUGAAAACAACUUGCUGGGGGUGUGCUGACGCUGAGACACGAAAGCCAGGGGAGCAAACGGG
rnacentral:rRNA from 1 species